rnacentral:lncRNA from 1 species
AGUCAAUAAGCUAAUAGGGUUCCACUUGGUCCUCCUAUGAAGCUUCAGACUAUGGCCUGAUUCCUUAGGCCAAGCUUUGCUCAAAACUGCCCAACCCGUUUGUUCACUUGCUGAAUGGCUUGGUGACCUGCCUGCUUUCAUACUCAAUUACUUUCUGGGUGGGCCUUUGUUCCCACCAGAUAUGCAACUGACUAUUCACACAAUUACAUAGAUGCAAACAUUUCUCCUGCUUCUGUACAAGCAUCCCAGUUAAAGGUAAAGGGACCCCUGACCGUUAGGUCCAGUCAUGGCCGAUUCUGGGGUUGCGGCGCUCAUCUCGAUUUAUUGGCCGAGGGAGCGGCGUACAGCUUCCGGGUCAUGGGGCCAGCCUGACUAAGCUGUUUCUGGCGAACCAGAGCAGCGCACAGAAACGCCGUUUAACUUCCUGCCGGAGCGGUACCUAUUUAUCUACUGGCACUUUGACGUGCUUUCGAACUGCUAGGUUGGCAGGAGCAGGGACCGAGCAACGGGAGCUCACCCCAUCGCGGGGAUUCGAACCGCCGACCUUCUGGUCGGCAAGUCCUAGGCUCUGUGGUUUAACCCACAGUGCCACCCAUGUCCCUACAAGCAUCCUAAGAAUACACAAAAGAAGCAAGCCAGCUGUGAGAAGCAGCCCACCAUCACUGGAAGAACUGCUCCAAAUCAUUUUGUUGCCCAAGGCAGAGCAGCAAACUGGGUUCCCCACCCCACCUCCAAGUCAAUGUACAUAGUGCCCAAGGCCCUUUGCCACUUGGGACAGAAAAUCUCACAAGCAUCUUCCCCCAUUGGUCAAAAUACCACCACAAUAAAUUAAACAGUGAACCAUUUGCUUCCCUUUCAUGUCACUGAAAAUUAACUACUUGAGGGCCCUCUGGCCAAUGGAAAGGCAGACCUCAGUCACUGUCAUUUAUGGAAAAUAAUUACAAGCUGUAACAUAUGACGUCAUUGGGCAGCAAGGCAGUGUGCCCCAUGUUCAGCCACCUUCGUUAAGGUGGCAUCAAUUUUAUAUGAUGGAAAAGUGAGGCAUGCUUUUCUUGUGAAAACAGACCUGCAGUUAACAUUAAGCUAAUAAAUGAAAGUUGAGAUUUCUAUUGCAGAAAAUGUGUGAGCCAACAUUCAGUCCAGAAGCUACUAAUGCUUCUAUUAUAAAAUGAUAAAUGUCACAGCCAUAAUCGGAAUUUUUCAAGGGUUUCAGUGCGUUUGUUUUUACACUGAAAGCCAAUGCAUUAAUAAAGCAAUUGAAGGAGUAGGCAUUUAAGUCUAUGAAUGUCAGUUGCAAGGUUUCACAUAUGUCAUUCUGCAGUAAUAAAAGACUUCAUAUAUAAGUGGUGGGGCCAAACAUCGCUAUUUUUAUUUUUUAUUAGGAAGCCGUCAGGACAAGAAUGCAAGCAAAUGGAAGAGAAAAAUGAAGGCAACACCAAUUAAUCAGUUCCCCUGGUGACAUUUUAAUGCAUUAUUGGUACAAUUAUUCCAAAAUGUCCUCAAAGGAUCACCACACCUGCCUUUUUCAGAGUUCAUUUUUCACUGAGUUUAACAAGCGGCCUUUCUGAUUGGCUUUCAUCUCCCAAGGUACUGUGCCCUUUUAUCCCUCUCCUUCUAAGUAGAGCAGAAGAAGUUACUGUAAAUAUCAGGUAUACUGAAAAACAGUAUCUUUAUACUGUGCUUCCUUCCAUGGCCACUUAUGCUUUAUCCUUUCACCGAGUGGUUCACUUCCGUACUAAGGACAUAUUUCCAUAUACCGUAUUUCUCUGUGUAUAACACAAUGGGUUUUUUAUUUUAAUAACAUGUUCAAAAUUGGUAGUCGUCUUAUACACGGACAGUGCAGAAGGGGGGGACAGGUGAUUGUUGGCAGCUGUGAGCAGGAGAUUGGGCAUGUGAUUGGUGGCUGCUGGUGGUGAGCAGUCAGAUGAUUGGUGGCUUUGUUGAGGCAGGUGAGUGAUCAAUCCCCUAUCCCAAAAAAAAAAGCUCAACAACUCUGAGCAAUCCCCCCCCCCAUUUCCUUAAACGUGGGGGCGUGUUAUACACUGAAAAAUAUGGUAUUUUGGUAUGUUCACCUCACCAAAGACUUUUCAUGUGGGGACAUUGUCCAUGAAAGGGCAGGGAUGGAAGGCUAAGGAAGGAAGGGAAUGGCAUGGGAAAGAGGAACUCCACCUAGCAGUCUGCUGCCCUAGGUGUCUGGUUCCCUUGAGGGAGGCCUCCUCAGCUGGAACAGUUGGCUUGGGAAUGAGGGCCUGGCCAGGAGUGGAGGAAAGGCGACAGACAGCAUGCAUGGCUGGAGCUAAGAAGCAGGGUGCAAGUCACCCUUUUACUCUGCCUUAUUUUAUUUUUGUGUGUUUAUUUAACGACUAAAGCGAAAGGCCUCUAAGCAGUUCGCGAAAGACAAAACUAAAAUAUUCGUUUAAAACAAACUGCCUAGGGUUGUAGCCAACUAACCGUUGCUCAGUUGAGGGACCUAAGUGAGUCCGGUCUAUUCAUUUCAAUGGGUCUACUGUGAAAAAUGACUAAGGCUAGAUACAACCCAUAACAAUUUUAAAGUAUAAAAUAAAACCUGUGUCCUGUGGUUGGGAAGACAGAAAGAGGGUAUGUGGUGGGUUUGUGUGUGUGUGUGUGUGUGUGUGUGUGUGUGGAGGGGAGGGUUAGGGAUUUGUCUGUAAGAGAAAAAAAGUGAGUGAGUGCACGAGUUUGUGUCACUUCUCUGGCCCCACCAACUGCAGUCAUGAGGCCAUCUUCAAAUAUCUUAAGGGCUGUCACAUGGAGGAGGGAGCAUGCUUGCUUUCUUCUGAUAUGGUGGGUAGGACUCGAACCAAUGGCUUCAAGUUACAAGAAAGAAGAUUCCGACUAAACACCAGGAAAAUCAUUCUGUCAGUAAGAGCUGUUUGGCAGUGGAACAGACUCCCAUGAGAGGUGGUGGGCUCUCCCUCCUUGGAGGUGUUUAAGCAGAGGGUGGAUGGCCAUCUGUCAUGGAUGCUUUAGCUGGGAUUCCUGCAUUGCAGGGGGUUGGGCUAGAUGACCCUUCCAACUCUAAGAUGAACGAACAGACACAUAAUACUGGUGAAAUGUUGCUACUGGCACUGUAUUGGUAGUGCAGUAUUAUUGCUGCAAUCAUUCAGCAUGCUGCUUGCACUGCCUUGCCUGCCCUUCCAUUUCUAUCUGAAACAUCCAUUAAGUUUCUUAUUAACAAUGGGGGCUUAAUGAAAACCAUACAUUUCACAAUGAGUGCCUGGCCAUGCAUGGCAUUUGUUUGGAAAGGGGAUUACUCCUCUCUAGGAAAAUGAUGGGAGAUUAAAGCAUUAAAAAUGUAUGGCGUGUAAUUAGUUUAUCACUGACAGAAUUUGGGGAGCGGGGAGGGAGCACUCCUAACAAAACACACGAGACACUAGCAAGGGAUCGCUUGGAAAGAUCAACGCUGGUUCUAACAACCAGGAGAGAGAAAUUAGGAAUCCGCCAUCAAUGCAAUGGUUCGGCUUUGAUAUGAAACUUUGCAGCACCAGGGAUUCCUCUCCAAUGGGCUACUUCUGUGCAGGACACUGAUGUAUCUGUCAACCCCCCUUUCACUUUCAUCAAAAAUGGGAGCUAGGUGGCCCCCCCAAGUAGGCUACAUUAAUAUUGCUUAAAAUAUGAAAGGACAUCAAGAUGCAGUGGUACCUCGGGUUACAUACACUUCAGGUUACACACGCUUCUGGUUACAGACUCUGCUAUUCCAGAAAUAGUGCUUCAGGUUAAGAACUUUGCUUCAGGAUGAGAACAGAAAUCAUGCUCCGGCGGCGCAGCAGCAGCAGCAGGAGGCCCCAUUAGCUAAAGUGGUACUUCAGGUUAAGAACAGUUCCAGGUUAAGAACGGACCUCCAGAACGAAUUACCGUAUUUUUUGCACCAUAACACUCACUUUUUUCCUCCUAGAAAGUAAGGGGAAAUGUCUGUGCGUGUUAUGGAGGGAAUGCCUACGGGUGGCAUGCCUACGGAUUUUCCUCCUCUAAAAACUACGUGCGUGUUAUGGUCGGGUGCGUGUUAUAGAGCGAAAAAUACGGUAAGUACUUAACCCGAGGUACCACUGUAUUCUGCAACAGCGUCUUUGUUACCCUCAGCAUUUAUUCCCAGUGGCUGUUUCCAGGGAAAGUUGAACGAACCACCAGGAGCAGAAAAUGAACAGCAACUCCUCUUCCAACACAGGCAACAUUCACAUGUAACACUAAGCCAAACUAUCGCUUGAAGCAAAUGUGCUAGCUCCCAGGGAGGAAAUAUCACCUGCAUUGUGCCGUCCAGUACUUUAGCUCCAUACAGCAUGGCAGCUAAGCCAAGGUUUGACUUAGUGUGUCAUUUGAACCCAAGAUAGUGAUUAAGUGGUCCUUAACCACGACCUGCAGCCAAGGCUUCUUUCAUAUUCUACCUUCCAAUGAUGUGCAAAUCAAGCCACAGUGUAAUACUGUUUCUCUUACAAUCAUUAAAGCUGGUCUAGGUAAGGCAUUAUAUAUAGUCCUUAUUCCAGAAAUGCAUUCCACAUACAAUACUAUGAAAACAGUCACAGGAGAAUGUCAUUCUAGAAGAAAGAUUCAAAUCAAUUUUAAAAACGUUGUUGCUAUUGUUGUUUAUAUUUAUCAGUUGCCUUAUGUGAUAUAAAGUUCUAGGUGAUGUGCAAUGAGGUACCAAGCAAAUGAUUACAGCACAUCAAAAUACAAAUAAUAAGCAACAGACUGGUGGUUUCAUAUGAUUUUCAAUCAUAUAAUUAAAGAAAACAAGCUUUACCUUCAGCCUCUGAAAAGGCAGCUGCAAUAUUUUCUCAAGAAAUCAAAGACAGAUAGAAAAUGAAAAAAGAGAGGCGGAUUGAAUCUUUUAGUAUGCGCUGUGGAAACUCAGUCAAGCAGUUAAGCUCACCAGAGAAAACAGCUGUUUAGCAGAGCUGUCUUUACUAGGACAACACCAACACGUACAGAUACACACACUUUACAUAUGUUGCAAGUGGUCUUCCCUCUCUGAACCCAGAGAGGAUUAUUUGCUUCAAAGUCAUUGCUGUGUUUAAAGUCCACAGCCAAGUCCUUAGUUCAACUGCUUGCAGAAUCCUACAAGUGAUAUAGAGUUCUCUGAGUUCUUAAAUCUGGCAAUUUUCCAACUUCUUCCUCAGAUGACCUCUUCAAAAAGCCUUCACUUGAAUUCACAAUUCCAACACAUAGCCUUCAACAAGUCCUGCAAUCUCCUACCAUGAUCCACAUAGUAUACUGUAACUUGAGCCCUUUUAUGUCAAAUCUGCCCAUAGCCACUUCUGACACCUUGAAAAGAACAAGUUUAUCUAGGAAGCACUAAAGUUUAUCCUAGUUGACCAAUCAAAUAUUUAUUCAACUCCUUUUUAGAACAGUUUCCUCUUCUACCUUAACAAAGACUGUUCCAGAAUUCUUCUCAUCAGAACACAAACUAAUAUCAGCAUUAUACCACCAAAUUCAGGGCUGCUGUGUGAACACUCUGAUAUCACAGAAACCUGGGUGGUAGUUUUUUGAUCUCUGAUAGUCUGGAACAGCAUUACUGAUCUGCUUCAAUGGCAUUUUUAGGCAGUUGGUUAAUUUUUUUGGUCCUCAAUCCUCCAGGUUUUGAGAGAGUACUUGAGAUAUGGAUUUUAUUUCUAAUUAAGCAACUAUUUUAGUCUUUAAAAUAAUGUGAUGUUAUGAUGUUAUGUUGUUAUGUUAUGUUAUGUUAUGUUAUGUUAUGUUAUGUUAUGUUAUGUUAUGUAUUGUUUGGUUUACAAGCAAACCAUCUAACAGGGGAAGUUGCCAUUAUUAUUAUGUAAAUGUACUUACUGUUAAAUUUGUAGGCUGCUUUUCCAUUUAAAUAUCAACAACAACAACAAUAAUAAUGGCAACUUCCCUGUUAGAUGGUCUGCUUGUCAUGUUGUGAAUGUUCAUAAAUAUUCUAACUACUCAGUAGCAAAUUGUCAGCACAAAAAUGGACUGUGAUGCUGCAGUGAAAGAAGAAAACUGAGUAUCCAGAGUGCAACUUUGUUUGUUUGGAACAGCACUUUGAUGUAUAUGUUUGUUUGUGGUGGUAACAGUACCACCACAAACAAAACAACCACCUAAUGCAAAUAACCACCACCUCCAGGGGCAAUGCAUAUUGUGGAAUCUGUUUUCACUGCUAGAGUUCAAACCUGGAAAAGAUGAACUAAUAAAGAAAGCGUGCUUCCAAAUUUAUGGGAUUUGGGGUAUGUGAACCCAAAAUGAAUGAGAACACACCUGCCUGUGUCAGAAGGAGCUCAUUAAUAAUGUUUGUGAUCUUCAGAUCUUUCCUAGCAAUGCAAAAUAUUCUAUUACAAUUAGGCAGAGCUGCUAUUAUACAGCACCUUUUGUAUGGUGUCAGGCAGUAAUUAACUUGCUCGAGAUAAAACAGUAGGCAACUGUGAAAAUAUUUAAGCACCAUUUUUCCCCCUGACCUAAGUGCCACACGCACAUAAGAAUGUGAAUCCCACCUGGCACGCAGGUAAUUGUUAUCAGCUGAGUAAUACUUGGGACUCACACUUUUCCUUUACUUAAAUACCAAUGUUUCCAUUGCUAGGUUCUCUAUCUCACACACUGUGUGUCUGUAUGAGUCUUAUGCACUAGCAAAUACUCCCCACAAGAGACAUGAACUCAAAGCCUAGAGGGCUAGAAUGGAGCUCUGGUUAAAAGAUUAAGCUGUGAAUGAAAAUGACCCAGCUCAAAUUUGAACUCGCUCUACUGCCCUAGGCAAGCUGCUCUCUCCAGGCACCGCCUGUUCCUGGCACUUGUACAUUCCGGGGGGUGGAAACUGAGAGUUGGCAUAAGGAAUAGCCAGUAGUGGACAGUGUGGCUGGACAACGCUCAUCAGAUGUCCCAAACAGUUGAGCUGUUGCUGCUUACUAGGAAGGAGCGGGGUUAUGGCAAGGAGUUUGGUGCUCUGCAAACACAUUGGUGGAGCCAAUCUGGCACUCUUGCUGGUGCGUCUACACUGUGCUGACCUCCUUGUUGCCUCCCUGCUCCCUCCUAGUAAGCAGCAGUGACUCAGCUUUGUACGCUAUUCCAACCACAUAAAAACCAGAGCUUCCUUCACACACCUCUCUCCAAUCCUGCAUAUGGGCAGGCAUGCAAGAAGCAUAGUCACACUUCAAGGCACUUGAAGCGGGUGGUGAAGCCUAGGGAAAGGCACUUGAGAAACAAGGAAGGGGGCAGAAUGAAGGGCCUGGAGGUUCCCUUGCCCCUCUGCUUUAGAAGGACUUCUCUAACUCCUGCAAAGUUAAGUUUCAGCCCACCAGCCCUUUAUACUUGGCAUGCUCAUUCAGUUUAGAUUUAUUUUACUAAUAUACGUUGAGGGACUGGGGCACGUAGCUUGGCUCGCUGUCCAGAAAAAAUCUUUCUCCCCUUCAAAAGUAAGGCAUAACACUGAAAUGCAAGAAUAUGACCCAGCAGCACGUACGCAAGCAGAUAAACUUCUCCCACCUGAGCUUCUAUUACACUCCUGUACGCUGGCAACCCACCUGCAAUAUUCACAGGAGAGCCUGGGGGGCUUAAAUAACUGACACUGCAGCCGAGCAAGCAAGAUAAUUUUUUUGAUGGAAAGUUAUUGCGUCUGUGCACUGUAAAAGAAGGUUUGCUGAUAUUGGUGCCCAACAUGGCACACUUUAUAGACUGGGAGGAUUGCUCUCUGCAGCAUAGGGGUCGUAUAAAUAAAAGAAGCAAUCCCCCCACCCCCACAUAGAUACAUGCACGUGCUCGUGCUUGCAUGCUCAAGCACACCCAUAUCCACCCGCCAAGAGUUUGCACUCUGUUUUUAUCUUGUUCAGGCAUAAAUCAAAUGUAAUCAGAUUUUCGGCUGUCUCCUGAAGCGAACACCGGGCCACAAUUCAACAGUUAAACACGCUUAAACCCACUGAAAUCCACCCUUCAUAUUCAUCUCUGACCUCUUCCCCUCAAAAAAACUGAGUUAUAAAAACCUUGCUGCAUCAGAGCUGAAAAAUAGUCAAUACACAAGACUUUUAAAUGUAAGUCUGAAAGGCAAGAUCCCAUAUAUUGUCAAGUACCAUUCCUUUCCAAAUACUACUUUUGUCUCAAAUAGCAAUGCCACCAUGACAAUCUUUACACAGUUACCGAUUUAUAAUACACAAGGACAUAUUUAUUGCAUUGAACAGGCAUCUCUAAAACAGGUAAGAGUUUACUUAAAUGCAUUGAUCACCUCAAAUAAUAGCUAACCUUAUUGGUUAGGAAAUUGUUUGAGCAUCAUAGCAACAAUGGAGGAGUUGUAUUUAUUUACAAUAUUGUUUCCAAAGCAGCACCAAUAUGUAUAAGAGAAAAAUAUGGAAAUGCUUAUUUAGAGAAAACUAUAGUUCUUUCAGUUAUAUUAAAUACCAUGAAAAGGGGGGGGGGGACCACACUUCAUGGGCAUCUGGAAACAGUGGACAGAGUUUUGUACAAUAUUUAUUUCAUUUUCCAGUGCAGUGGAGAAAAACUGCCAUCAUCCUGAUUGUCCCAGACACCCAAUUGCUUGAACUGCACAGUCCAAAUUCUGCUACAUCAACUCAUUUUGUGUUUGUGAUGGCAAAGGAGGUUCUGCCUGUUUUAAAAACUUCAGAACUUUGUUUUGAAAACCACAUUGGUGAGGAAUGUAUGCUACGUAUGCCCAACUCCAUUGGAUACAGCAAAAAACAACAACCUGAC